rnacentral:rRNA from 1 species
UAAGCAUAUCAAUAAGCGGAGGAAAAGAAACUAACAAGGAUUCCCCUAGUAACUGCGAGUGAAGCGGGAAAAGCUCAAAUUUAAAAUCUGGCGGUCUUUGGCUGUCCGAGUUGUAAUCUAGAGAAGUGUUAUCCGUGCUGGACCGUGUACAAGUCUCCUGGAAUGGAGCGUCAUAGAGGGUGAGAAUCCCGUCUUUGACACGGACUGCCAGGACUUUGUGAUGCGCUCUCAAAGAGUCGAGUUGUUUGGGAAUGCAGCUCAAAAUGGGUGGUAAAUUCCAUCUAAAGCUAAAUAUUGGCGAGAGACCGAUAGCGAACAAGUACCGUGAGGGAAAGAUGAAAAGAACUUUGGAAAGAGAGUUAAACAGUACGUGAAAUUGCUGAAAGGGAAACGCUUGAAGUCAGUCGCGUUGUCCAGGGAUCAACCUUGCUUUUGCUUGGUGCACUUUCUGGUUGACGGGUCAGCAUCAAUUUUGACUAUUGGAAAAAGAUUAGGGGAAUGUGGCAUCUUUGGAUGUGUUAUAGCCCUUGGUUGCAUACAAUGGUUGGGAUUGAGGAACUCAGCACGCCGCAAGGCCGGGUUUUAACCACGUACGUGCUUAGGAUGCUGGCAUAAUGGCUUUAAUCGACCCGUCUUGAAACACGGACCAAGGAGUCUAACAUGCCUGCGAGUGUUUGGGUGGAAAACUCGAGCGCGUAAUGAAAGUGAAAGUUGAGAUCCCUGUCGUGGGGAGCAUCGACGCCCGGACCAGACCUUUUGUGACGGUUCCGCGGUAGAGCAUGUAUGUUGGGACCCGAAAGAUGGUGAACUAUGCCUGAAUAGGGUGAAGCCAGAGGAAACUCUGGUGGAGGCUCGUAGCGAUUCUGACGUGCAAAUCGAUCGUCAAAUUUGGGUAUAGGGGCGAAAGACUAAUCGAACCAUCUAGUAAGCUGGUUCCUGCCGA